UGGGGAAUAUUGGACAAUGGGCGAAAGCCUGAUCCAGCCAUGCCGCGUGUGUGAAGAAGGCCUUUUGGUUGUAAAGCACUUUAAGCGAGGAGGAGGCUACUUAGAUUAAUACUCUAGGAUAGUGGACGUUACUCGCAGAAUAAGCACCGGCUAACUCUGUGCCAGCAGCCGCGGUAAUACAGAGGGUGCGAGCGUUAAUCGGAUUUACUGGGCGUAAAGCGUGCGUAGGCGGCUUUUUAAGUCGGAUGUGAAAUCCCUGAGCUUAACUUAGGAAUUGCAUUCGAUACUGGGAAGCUAGAGUAUGGGAGAGGAUGGUAGAAUUCCAGGUGUAGCGGUGAAAUGCGUAGAGAUCCGGAGGAAUACCGAUGGCGAAGGCAGCCAUCUGGCCUAAUACUGACGCUGAGGUACGAAAGCAUGGGGAGCAAACAGGAUUAGAUACCCUGGUAGUCCAUGCCGUAAACGAUGUCUACUAGCCGUUGGGGCCUUUGAGGCUUUAGUGGCGCAGCUAACGCGAUAAGUAGACCGCCUGGGGAGUACGGUCGCAAGACUAAAACUCAAAUGAAUUGACGGGGGCCCGCACAAGCGGUGGAGCAUGUGGUUUAAUUCGAUGCAACGCGAAGAACCUUACCUGGUCUUGACAUAGUAAGAACUUUCCAGAGAUGGAUUGGUGCCUUCGGGAACUUACAUACAGGUGCUGCAUGGCU
rnacentral:rRNA from 1 species